rnacentral:ncRNA from 1 species
GGCACUAGCGAGUAUUCCAGGGAGAGCUUUGAAGACUGAAGUGGAGAAGGGUUACGUGAACGAGAACUGGAUAUGGACUAGCCCGUCGUAAGCGAGAGCUUAACUGCGUGUUAUUCUCAGGGACUUUUGCCCUCAUAUUUCGGUAAUAUUCCUCAGCAAGUACACGGAUGGUGCAUUGUAACGUAAAUAGAGUGUUUGACGCAGGCAGCUGCGCAGGUUGUCUCCGCUUUUUAACAAGCUCUUCCAAACAACCUCGAAUUAGCUAAUUUGAAGAUAGGUUUGACUGGUUAGUAAAGCUCCCUGGUUUGCACGGAAUCCGGUAUGCUCCUGAGUGCCCUUCAAAAAAAAAGGAAAAAUUGUUACUGGCACUCUUGGCAUACAAUCAACCGCAUCAGGUCUCGAAGCUUAGCAAUCUCUGGUC